rnacentral:rRNA from 1 species
GACGAACGCUGGCGGCGUGCUUAACACAUGCAAGUCGAACGGUGAACCUGCUUCGGUGGGGGAUCAGUGGCGAACGGGUGAGUAACACGUGGGCAACCUGCCCUCAGCUCUGGGAUAACUCCAAGAAAUUGGGGCUAAUACUGGAUAUGACCGCUGACCGCAUGGCCUGGUGGUGGAAAGAUUUAUCGGCUGGGGAUGGGCCCGCGGCCUAUCAGCUUGUUGGUGGGGUAGUGGCCUACCAAGGCGACGACGGGUAGCCGGCCUGAGAGGGUGACCGGCCACACUGGGACUGAGACAGGGCACAGACUCCUACGGGAGGCAGGAGUGGGGAAUAUUGCGCAAUGGGAGAAAGCCUGACGCAGCGACGCCGCGUGGGGGAUGACGGCCUUCGGGUUGUAAACCUCUUUCAGCAGGGACGAAGCGAAAGUGACGGUACCUGCAGAAGAAGCACCGGCCAACUACGUG